CGGGACGGGUGGGUAAUGUCUGGGAAACGUGCCUGAUGGAGGGGGGUAACUACUGGAAACGGUAGCUAAUACCGCAUAACGUCGCAAGACCAAAGAGGGGGACCGUUCGGGCCUCUUGCCAUCGGAUGUGCCCAGAUGGGAUUAGCUAGUAGGUGGGGUAACGGCUCACCUAGGCAACGAUCCCUAGCUGGUCUGAGAGGAUGACCAGCCACACUGGAACUGAGACACGGUCCAG
rnacentral:rRNA from 1 species